CAGGCUUUUAGAUAGAAAGAAGAAACAACGACACUGUGAAAAUCACAUCAGAAAAAUUGCUUCCUAGAAAAACAGUUAACCAAUUUCUUCUUCUGAAUGGUUUCUCAAGAAAAACUGGCUUUGGAGGUGGGGUCUCUGUCUCUACAGUUCCUGGGAAAAGCAAGUAUGCUGUUACUGACUUUUACUGCUUGUUCCAUUCUUCUUUGAUUUUAAUGAGAUCUUCUUUGCCCAAAACUGAUUUCAAUGGGAAAGCAUCAUGUUUACUCAGGGCCUUGGAAAAAUUUGGAUUGGUCACUCAGAACAUGCUGGAGAGAUGUGGCCAAAGCUCUGCACUGCAAGGGGACCUCCAAUCCCAAGGGUGUGGAUAUGACUUGGCAAGGACUUUGGGAACAGAGCACUGAUGGAUAAACCAUCUCAGAAAGUGCUGGGACCUUGUUAGAUUGUUAGAGGAAAAGUUUUACCCUUGUGAAAGUUAUUUUAAAAGAUAUUUUCUGUAUUUUUCUAUCUCUAGCCUAAAUGUAAGGAUUUAUAAUUGUGAAAAAUGGAAAAUCAGCCUUAGUUUGAAGAAUGUUUUCAGCUUUUCUUAUCAAAAUUUAUAAUCCUGUUUUAGCUUUAUGAAACAGGGUAAAAACAGUGUAUAACCAAAGAACAAAAGGAUAUGCAUUCCUUCUGAAUUGGUGUCAGUUAAUGAUUCUCAGUUCUGUACACAAUAGUAAUAAUAUGUCAUUAUUCAAACCUCCAGGCUCACUCUUGAGGGCAUAUUUGCUUGAAAAUGAGAUGAAAGCCCGUACAAACUUUAUAU